ensembl:piRNA 21ur-10853 ncRNA
UUUUGAUUGGUUUUUUAAGUA